rnacentral:rRNA from 1 species
CCUACGGGUGGCAGCAGUGGGGAAUAUUGCACAAUGGGCGCAAGCCUGAUGCAGCCAUGCCGCGUGUGUGAAGAAGGCCUUCGGGUUGUAAAGCACUUUCAGCGGGGAGGAAGGCGUUAAGGUUAAUAACCUUGGCGAUUGACGUUACCCGCAGAAGAAGCACCGGCUAACUCCGUGCCAGCAGCCGCGGUAAUACGGAGGGGUGAAGCGUUAAUCGGAAUUACUGGGCGUAAAGCGCACGCAGGCGGUCUGUCAAGUCGGAUGUGAAAUCCCCGGGCUCAACCUGGGAACUGCAUUCGAAACUGGCAGGCUAGAGUCUUGUAGAGGGGGGUAGAAUUCCAGGUGUAGCGGUGAAAUGCGUAGAGAUCUGGAGGAAUACCGGUGGCGAAGGCGGCCCCCUGGACAAAGACUGACGCUCAGGUGCGAAAGCGUGGGGAGCAAACAGGAUUAGAUACCCUGGUAGUC